rfam:Pseudomonas syringae pv. tomato str. DC3000, complete genome.
GAUUUUGAGUGUCCAGCCCACGCGUUUAGCGAAAGGCUGAUGGCUGGUGGCUUUUGCCACCGGCCU